AUUGAACGCUGGCGGCAGGCCUAACACAUGCAAGUCGAACGAGUGGCGGACGGGUGAGUAAUGUCUGGGAAACUGCCUGAUGGAGGGGGCUAACUACUGGAAACGGUAGCUAAUACCGCAUACCAUCGGAUGUGCCCAGAUGGGAUUAGCUAGUAGGUGGGGUAAAGGCUCACAUAGGCUACGCUCCCUAGCUGGUCUGAGAGGAUGACCAGCCAAAUAGGACACUAGACCUCGUCCAGCCUCCUACGGGAGGAAGCAGUGGUGAAUAUUGCACGAUAGGCGGAAGCCUAAUGCAGCCAUGCCGCGUGUAAGAAGAAGGCCUUUGGGUUGUAAAGUACUUUCAGCUGGGAGGCGUUACCCGCAGAAGAAGCACCGGAUAACUCCGUGCUAGCAGCCGCGGUAAUUC
rnacentral:rRNA from 1 species